CGCCUUCCUGCCGCUGCCGCGCGCCUUGGGGCUUGCUCCCCUCUCCGGUCAACUUUCCCCAAAGUCGCCGCCGCCUCCCGAGUGCAGACGCUUCCUACUCGAGCCCAGAGCCAGCCCUGGCUUCUGAGCAUGCCCAGUCCGCCGCUCCGGCGCCGACUUUCGGUGCAGCUCGCACUUCUCGGGCCGCCGGAGAGGCUGAGCGUGGGGACCGCGAGACAGCAGGUCCAAGCCGGGACUGAGUCGAGGCGCGGCGAGCGCAGGGCCGGAGGCGGGCGCAGGGCGGCGGGCGCCGGAGGAAGCGGGCGCUGCGCCUGGGGCUCCUGAUAAGCCGCGCGGCGGGGCGGAGCGGGCGGGCGCGCCACUUCGGGGUGGGGAGGUGGGGGAGACGCCGCGGAGGACCCCGCGCAGACCGGGGAGGCGCCAGCCGGGGGACACCACCCCCCUCCCGCCCUGGCACCCCCGCCUCGAGGCCGCUGGGCUACGGUCCUGGCCGCGUCCUCGGGCAGAGCGGGCUCGGCAUCCGAAAAGCUCCGGGGUCCGGAGGUGCUCCGGCCGCCGGCCUCCCCAGCAGAGGCUCCCGAGCUGCGUGGCCGCGUCUCCCCUCGCUCACGCCACCCUGCCCACGGGGAGCGCCUCGCACAGGUGGCUGGCGCUGGAGAAGAAACUUGCCUCCCGCUGGAGAGGAGCCCGCGCCCGGGAGGGCUCCGUGACGCGCAGCUUAAAAUGAUGGCAUGUUAUUAUGGAGCCUGAAGUGGUGUUCAUGAAAACCCAAGCACUGUCUGCCAAAAAGAACACUUCUCUGGACUCUUCAGGAAGCUGCUCAUUUCCAAAUAAUGUUUCCAAAUAAUAGAAGAAAUGACAUGUUUUUAAGAAGAAUAGAAUUUGGUUUUCCAUAUUUUUUUCAUAAAUGGCGAAUUUUAAAAUGCAUAAAAUGGAAUUUAAAAUACUUUGUUCACGAAAUAUCAUUUUGCUACAUUUUAAGCCCAGUGAAUGUAUACAUGAGGACACAAUAUUGUAAUAUCUCUCCUGACUAAUAAAUUUAUUUUCUCAGUCCUAUUUCAGUGGUUAAUCUCGUAUGUAAAGACACACCAUUUCGUAAGUUAAUACAUCAGUCUUUUCCACAGGAUCGUCAAACUAUUUGAGACAGUAAUUCUGCGUUUGAGAGCAUGUUUGACAUCAUGCAGCGUAUAGAAGAACAGCUCUGUAGUCAAUGCCUUUUGGUUGCUGAUCUUACAUCGCAUUUAACAGCUGAUAAAACUCGGCCACUUUCAACCUACAUGUUUUGUAAUCCACAUUGAGCGUAAAAACUAAAACUACAUUUUGCUAGUGAACUGACUACAAUCGGUAAAGUGAGAAAGUACUGAAGAUGUAAGAAAGAUAAUAAAAUGGAAGUUUGAGUGAAAUGGGCUUUUAUCGCUGAGUCGAAUGAAUGCAUGAGGCAACAGAAAGCUAGCAAGGCAUUUGUUUGCGCUGUGAGAAUGUCGGAGAUCGGGAAGACAGGGGAGGUUGCAGGCAAGAGCAAAAAGACUUAGUAGGGAAGCGUACAGAGAGCUUCAUCCUCAUGAACUUAAUGCCCAAGUAGACAGCCCCUAACUUCUAAUUCUCUUGAUAUUGUGACUUUUAUACGAUCAUCAUGAGAUGAUUGUGGUGGAAAUCCAGAAAUCCACCUUUAGCGAUGGGCAAGUGAAGUGGUAGGCUGGUAAAGCAAGUGGAUAUCAUUCUAGGGUGAAGACGUGGGACUGAUAUUUAUGAAGCCAUUACCCAUGGACCAAGAAUAGAGACCCAAGUUGGGGCCCAGGAGACACAUAUUUUCACUAUGCAUUUGUAACCAACUGUAAAAUUACGUCACCUUGCCCAAUCCACAUAUUUUAAAGGAUUCAGUAAUUUCUCCCUGGUCCAGACUGUAUUUUUUAAAAAUCAUUUUUCAAAGCACAAAGCACAGGCAUUUGCUCUCAUAGGUAAGAAUGCCCCAUAAAAAAUAAAUAUCAAAUAGAGACUUUUUUACCCUUUUUUGGUAUUAGAAUAUUCAAUGUCUAUCUUGAGUCACUGAAUUAUGUGAGAAUGUUUUUACUCAAAUAUCAAAGUUAAUUUAGGGAGCUAUUACAGAAAAUUCAUCUAAGUUUUCCAUAGAAUACAGUACAGCCACAAUUCUCACCAUCUAUCUUUCUUAGAAAAGCAUCUAUGUUGAAUACCAUUUUAAGUGGAAAAAAUGACAGAGAAAUCUUCAAAACAUUUAUUUGUGGAAUGUUAAAAGCAAUUGCUGCUGUUAGGAACAUACAGAACUUAGUGGAAAUUGCUUAUUUUCACUUUGCAGUUUCCACUGGUCAGACCCUCUAUCCGUACACUGCAAGUAACAUUCUCUGGGCAGUCAGCGAACGGAAACUUAGCUAAUAUCACAGCAUUACCACAUGCACCCCAUUAUUUAAUUUAGUUACUCUCUGCCUGUAUCACUAGCACUCCCAAAAUACAGAGAACUAAAAGACGGUUAGCACUGGCUGGGAUGGACACCCCACCCUUCCCCACCUGCAAAAAAAAAAAAAAAAAAAAAAAAAAAAAAGAAAGAAAAAAGAAAAAAGAAAAGAAUGAAAGNCAUAAUGGAUGUCACAGAAUUGAGCUGAAAUGUACCACUGAGAUUAUGUAAUUCAAUAUCCUAAUUUUAAAUUUAAGGAAAUUCGAAGGCCAAGGAAGUCAAAUGACUCACCCAAGGCAGAAGCAAGUUUAGAACCCAACUGAGCCCAUUCCUAGCACCCUGUUCUUAAAGUUACCUUAUUCUUUCACUUCAUGCUUUAUGAUUAGUGCACACAGAACCUGAUUCAGUUCAUAUGAAAAUCCCACCAACUAUCUCUUCAUAGGUAAUAGCUGUUAAGGUCAAUUGAGAACACUUUAUUUUGUGCAGAAAACAAAAUAUAUCAAAAAGUCUUUAAAAUAUCUAAUUAGUUCUAUAUGCCUCUCCCUAUACUCAAACUGUAAGUAACUGUUGUUCUAUGGAAACCGACUCGACCGUGUGUGUGUGUUGUGUGUGUGUGUGUGUGUGUGUGUAUACACUUGCACAUGCUUCAAAGUCAGGCAUAUGCCAGAGGUGUGAUAUUUAAACCACACCCUCCUAAUCAACCCUCAUUUAUGUCAAAGUAGAGGUGAGCAUGCGAGGUGAAUAUACCCGGGGAAACAGAGAAAACCACCUCACUUACUUUUUCAUUUUUCAGACACAGUAGCUCAGGUCUCUCUUCCCAUCACAGGGUUUUUAAAAUCUUUGUGACAAAAGACAGCAUUACCAAGACAGAGAAAAUUUCUCUCCCAUUCGUACAAAUUAAAAGGUAACACCUUAAACCUAACAUAGAACUCUCGAGAUACAGAUGGUGAUACUUGUUUGAGUCCCUGAAAUCGUGCAGUCUUAGACCACUGGAGAUGUCUAUAUAGCAUAAUAACUUCAGAAAAUGCCAAAAGAUGAUUUUGUUCAUUUAGUAUUUCUCAGUGGAGUACUCUAAGAAUUUUCACAAAAAGACAGUAAAGACAUAUUUCAAUGCACACUGAAACAUAUAGCAUUUAAAAUCUUAUUACAUUAGUAUUUUCCUAAAAAUACUUUUGUACUUUCAUAUUCUCAGUAUAUGUUCUUUUAAUCACCAAUCUAUUUACACAGCGAAUUUUUAACAUAUUAUAUGACUUUCAUAUUCGGCAACCAGGGAAUAUCCAAUUGUGAGAAAUCAGAAUAAUUAAUGAAGAAAACACAAAAAAACAAGAAGCAUAUGGUAACAGCUGGUGGAAUACUAAACUCAGUGGUCAGUGAACAGCCUUGCUAGCAAGCCCAUAACUCUAACUGAGAGCUCUCACCAAUCAAGUAUAUACUACAACUCAGUGUUUCCUUCAAGUGUGAACUAAAGAAUACUGGUUUCUUAAAAAAAAAAGAGGGAGGGUUUCCACAGUCAAAAAUGCUUGGGGAACACUGAGGAAAGUUCAGUAAAUCAGAUUUCUUUCUGAAUUAUUUCAUAUAACUUCCAAAUUUCCGAUAUAUAUUUG
rnacentral:lncRNA from 1 species